rnacentral:rRNA from 2 species
UUUAAAUACUUUUUAAAGUAUCAAUUGGAGGGCAAGUCUGGUGCCAGCAGCCGCGGUAAUUCCAGCUCCAAUAGCGUAUAUUAAAAUUGUUGCAGUUAAAAAGCUCGUAGUUGAAUUUUUGCUAAAAAUAACCGGUCUGCUUUUAUUAAUAAAAGUGGUAUCUUGGUGUGUUCUUAGCAAUAAUGUCCUUUGAAAUGUUUUUUACUUUAUUGUAAGAAGCAAUUUUCAGGAUUUUUACUUUGAGAAAAUUAGAGUGUUUCAAGCAGGCUAACGUUUUGAAUACUGCAGCAUGGAAUAAUAAAAUAGGAUUUUAGUUCUACGUUAUUGGUUUUAAGAACUAAAUUAAUGAUUGAUAGGAGCAGUUGGGGGCAUUUGUAUUUAACUGUCAGAGGUGAAAUUCUUAGAUUUGUUAAAGACACACUACUGCGAAAGCAUUUGCCAAAGAUGUUUUCAUUAAU